GAGGUGCGGGAAGCCAACAGAGGACAGAAUCUGAUGGGGGAGGUCCCAGCUUGUUGAUUAUUCUUCUAAUGUUACCAUUCUUGUUAAUUUGCUUGUUGGCUUAUAUGCCAUUUCCAGAGCCGGACUAUGCUUUGCAUAAAAACCUAUCCUAUAGUGUUCCUAUGGCAACGGAGAAACAUGGAGUGGAAUUUUUUGUUAAAUCAUCUGAUUUUGAUGUAAGAUAUCCUCCUGGAAGCCCAGGUCGAGCUGAAAUAGAGAAUAGUGUGCUGAGG
rnacentral:misc_RNA from 1 species